AAUCAACGCUGGCGGCGUGCCUCAGACAUGCAAGUCGAACGCGAAAUUCCCUUCGGGGAGAAAGUAGAGUGGCGCACGGGUGAGUAACACGUAGGUAAUUUGCCUUUGGGUGGGGAAUAACUCAGGGAAACUUGAGCUAAUACCGCAUAAUGCAGCGGCUCGACAUCGAGACAGUUGUUAAAGCGGGGGAUUGGAGCAAUCCGACCUCGCGCCUAAAGAGAAGCCUGCGGCAGAUUAGCUGGUUGGUAAGGUAAUGGCUUACCAAGGCGACGAUCUGUAACCGGCCUGAGAGGGCGGGUCGGUCACACUGACACUGACAUACGGGUCAGACUCCUACGGGAGGCAGCAGUCGGG
rnacentral:rRNA from 1 species